rnacentral:rRNA from 1 species
GAUGAACGCUGGCGGCGUGCUUAACACAUGCAAGUCGAACGAAGCACUUUGGACAGAUUCUUCGGAUGAAGUCCUUGGUGACUGAGUGGCGGACGGGUGAGUAACGCGUGGGUAACCUGCCUCAUACAGGGGGAUAACAGUUAGAAAUGGCUGCUAAUACCGCAUAAGCGCACGGUACUGCAUGGUACAGUGUGAAAAACUCCGGUGGUAUGAGAUGGACCCGCGUUGGAUUAGCUAGUUGGCAGGGUAACGGCCUACCAAGGCGACGAUCCAUAGCCGGCCUGAGAGGGUGGACGGCCACAUUGGGACUGAGACACGGCCCAGACUCCUACGGGAGGCAGCAGUGGGGAAUAUUGCACAAUGGGGGAAACCCUGAUGCAGCGACGCCGCGUGAGCGAAGAAGUAUUUCGGUAUGUAAAGCUCUAUCAGCAGGGAAGAAAAUGACGGUACCUGACUAAGAAGCCCCGGCUAACUACGUGCCAGCCGCCGCGGUAAAAC